UGGCCACCAGGAAAAGAACUCGAUGG
rnacentral:piRNA from 1 species